AAUAAUCACAAGCUAAUUAUUUGUCAACCACAGUUCCAGAGUAACACAUCUAGAUAGCUAGGAUAAGAUGAGGAGGGCUAAUAUGGUUCUGCUCCUGGCACUGGCAGUUGGCUUCCUCAUGCUGGCUUCCGAUGCUGUAGCCGUCAAGAAAAGGUGUACGUCUAAAAAGAUCCCGACACUGGGUGCAUGUGAUCCCAAAACUUGCGAUCAAAACGCUAAAAAGGAUUCCGUCGCCGAUGGAUUUCGAUGCCCAUAUGCGGCUUGCAUCAUACAGGGCCGUUGUGUUGCUGGAAGUUGCCAGCGCAUCAUUUGCGAAAAAUAGAUACUGACCGGCUAUAUAUGGUGGUUAGGAGGAUGCCAUGCAUGAUGUAUACUGACAUAAAUUAAAUAAAGUUUCAUAUUGAAUC